GGCCGAGCAGACAUUUUGCGGGAGACGGUGGAACUGCCUGGAAAAGGGGGGUGUCCCUCAGCGGUGGAUCUGGGAGGCGGGGAGACGUCUCUGAGUUUUAGGAAGUUUGUCUCCAUCCUAUGGUGGUUGCUGGUCUUUUGAAAGAGAGAUUCCUCCCUCCCCCUUUCUCAGUAGUUUCAGCAAAAAUCCUGGAGCUGAAACUCAUAGCAUUGAUUUGGGUCAUGUGCCCAGCCCUGAACCAAUCGUUGUGACCAGGGGAUGGAAUACUCGAUGCAUCAGGCCUAGUCACAUGUGCACUCCCGGAGCUGAGCCUUUUGAGCCACGUGGACCAAGAAUUUGGAAGGGCUUUUUUUCCUCCAAAGAAAAAUUGGGUAAGUGUUACUACCAGCAGAAGGAAUGAAGGAUGCUAUCCAGGCAAAACUAAUGGAUGUUUAUUGUUCUACAGGCCCCAGUAUAAGAGAUGGUGUAAGGCAAUAGAUAAUUCCACAUGAUUGUAUCAGGAAAUGAGUAUCAGCUCAGAGGCUUUGGAAGGGGUCAAAGCAAACCUCAAGGAGGAGACUGAAAUUCAUUUAUGCUUGAGAAGUGAGCAGGAAUUGACUUGAUAAGGAAAAGGAAUUCUAGAGGGAGGAAGUGAAGAAAUAGACAUGAUGACCUAAUUAACCACCAUCAGUAAUUUCAAAAACCGAGACGAACUCCAGCAACAGGGGACAAGAAAACAGGCAUGAAAUAAGCUCAAAUAAAGUGGAUGGAUCAAGUUAAUAAAAAUAAAAGCAGAAAUAAAUGAAACAAACAAACAGAACAAUAGUUGAGAUGAUCAAUAAAACCCAAAGCUGGAGUUUCUGAAAGAAUGAUAUGCACAUACCAACUUCCUGCACGUAUGAUGAAGGCAAAGAGAGAAGACACACGUGAUAUGAUGCAGGACGAGAGGGCACGGACACAGAGGAGAUUCUUAAAAUUAGGAGACUUCUUCGUGCAGCAUCCUAGCUGAAGUCAGAGGGUGAGAAUAGUGCCUUCUCCCCAGCACCCCAAGCCGUUUUCCUCCUGCCCAAGGCUUGCAUUCAGAGGCAGCACGGCGUCGUGAUGAAGAACACGUCUAGAACCGGAAAGCCUGGCUUUGAACCUGGGUUGUCCUUUACUGUCUGGAGUGAGCUUGAAAACCCAACACCAACCAGCUGAAACAUCAAGUACAAAGAUCAAAACAACAAACAAAGGACACGUAACGACUUCUGUAACGGCAACAUUCGAUGGAUUAUCUCACAUCAGGAAUGGCUGGAUCCAGGUGUCCAAAUGAUCCAGGUGAUAUGGUUCCUUCUCAGGCCUUCUUAUCAUCAUAGUUUGAGCUAACCUACCACCACUCCCACCACUAAAAGCAGACUCUGGGGGCGCCUGGGUGGCUCAGUCGGUUAAGCCUCCAACUUCUGCUCAGCUCAUGAUCUCAUAGUUGGUGGGUUC